UACGUAGGGGGCUAGCGCUGUCCGGAAUCAUUGGGCGUAAAGCGCGUGUAGGCGGUCCGGUAAGUCCGCUGUGAAAGUCGGGGGCUCAACCCUCGAAUGCCGGUGGAUACUGUCGGGCUAGAGUGCGGAAGAGGCGAGUGGAAUUCCUGGUGUAGCGGUGAAAUGCGCAGAUAUCAGGAGGAACACCAAUUGCGAAGGCAGCUCGCUGGGACGUAACUGACGCUGAGACGCGAAAGCGUGGGGAGCAAACAGG
rnacentral:rRNA from 1 species